CAAGGGGCGGACUGCGGUGGAAUGACCUGGACAGGGUGAUCGACGCUCAGGUGGAGGCAACGCGGCGCAGCCCUGCAGCUGUCGUAAUACACUUGGGAUCCAAUGAUUUGGGCUCCACGAAGACCAGCCAGCUCCUCAUAGAUAUGGAGACAAUAAUCAUGCGGAUCCAGGCACACCUACCACACACCCAUGUCUGUUUUUCCGGUAUCCUACAACGAAGAGUCAUCGGACCCAGCAAUGAUGUGGCUACAACCAGAAAAAACAUAGUAUCAGUGAAAGGGAUGGUGAUUUCUGGAAGGGCUGGGAUGGACACCUAGGUUCCUCGCGUUGGGUGGAGGCUGAGUAAGACCUGGGUACCCACAGACUACCCAGACCCAUGGUUUUUAUACCAGGAGCUGCGGGACACCUGUACCUGAGUGAUACUGCAGGACACCUGUACCUGAGUGAUACUGCGGGACACCUGUACCUGAGUGAUACUGCGGGACACCUGCACCUGUGUGAUACUGUGGGACACCUGUACCUGAGUGAUACUGUGGGACACCUGCACCUGAGUGAU